rnacentral:lncRNA from 1 species
AAAGGUCAAACUUUUUUUUUUCCCUUUGGAUUUUGAGCCUGUAAUUGCAACAGACACUCUUGAAAAAGAGAAACUGUGGGUUUUAAAGUUUCUUCAUAUCAAGUUUUCCUUGCCAUGUCCCAUGCUUUCAGUCAACUCCCUUGGCUGUUAGAGAACUGCAUAGGUGUCUAAUGUUAAUGAAAAGCAUCUAAAGGCAACUGACUGGUUCCCUAAGUAAUGAACGUCUAACUCUGAAUUUGAAAUGAUCUUGGCAGAUCAUGUUUUGCAAAGUUUAGGGAAGUUGGAUUUACCAUACUUUAGCUCACAGCCCCCACUGCGGAAUUCUGAUGGUUCCAGAUCCCAGCUGAAUCCUGGGAAGGGCCUUUUGGUGACCUAAGCUCAUUCCUGAGCCUCCUCUUCCUUUUACGGAAGUGCUCAGCAAAGCAGCAGGUCAUGUAAAUUCAUGUGUUCCGUAGACUCCAAUGCCGCCAGGCUGAGAGCUGUUAAAGGAAUGAGAAAGAAGAGAAAAGAAGGAAUCACAGUGACUCACAUUUACUGUGUUCCUAUUCCUUGUGUUAGAUCUGAAUGAAGUCUUUAAUAAUUACAGAAAACUCCUCAUUUAGUUUGAAUUUCAUUAAGAAGGAACUGGCUUAAGCCAAAUUGAUUCGUGUACUUUUAACCAAUAAAGAAUCCUUCCCCAACAAAACUAUUAUCCCAAACUUUGUGAACAACCAUGGGUUUGCUAUACUAAAUUAAUAGUUUUCUUUGUAAUUUAUGUGCUAAUUUCAAUUUCAAUUUCACUGUCAAUCCCACGUGUUAUUGCUUCAAUCCCGAAUUAAUGAGGCAGGUUAGAGAUGGGAAAUGUCAAAUCAUCUGAGGGCAUCAUUCUUUUCUAAGGACAUAUAAAAUGAAAGAGUACUUCUGUCAUAAUUCAACAAUCCAUCCCAUUUUAUAGAGUCAUAGCAUGUUAGAGCUGGAAGGUUUGUAAAAUAUCAUCAGAUCCAGAUUUAUAGGUAAGAAAACUGAGGUCUGAAGAGGCAAAGUGAUUCAUUCAAGUUUUUGUAGCCAUUGUUCUUUGCCCAUUGUUUCUAGCUUUACAAAAAGGUCUAGAUGUAACCUUUAAGUCCUCAGAACCUUACAUCCUCCUACUCUCCUCAGGCAGAUUUAGGGACUCUCUGCCUUUCAAAUACUCCUGGAAGAGUAAAGGAGGACUUGAUUGCUUCACAUUCUCUUCUUCUUUUUAAAGGUUUUAUUUAAAAUCUGGCUACUUAACAUACAGUGAAAUAUUAGUUUCAGGUGUAGAACGUAGUGAUUCCUCACUUUCGUACAACACCCCGUUCCCAUCACAAACCAUGCCCUUCCUAAUACCCGUGCCCUCCUGAAUGCCCAUCACCCAUUUAAUCCAUCCUCCCCCAGCUCCCCUCCAGUAAGCAUCAGUUCGUUCUCUAUAGUUAAGAGUCUGUUUCUUGGUUUGCCACUCAAAUUUGUUUUGUUUCUUAAAUUCCGCAUAUGGGUGAGUUCAUAUGGUAUUUGUCUUUCUGUGACUGACUUAUUUCACUUAGCAUUAUGCUCUCCAGCUCCAUCCAUGUUGCAAAUGGCAAGAUUUCAUUCUUUUUUAAGGCUGAGUAAUAUUCCGUUAUAUCUAUAUAUCUGUAUGUAUAUCUCCCCCAUAUCUUCAUCCAUUCAUCAGUUGAUGGACAUUUGGGCUCUUUCCAUAAUUUGGCCAUUGUUGACCUACUGCCUCUUCUUAACACUUACAGAUUCCCUUUGCUCACGGCUUGCUAUGUGUCGUCAGUCACCAUGUUACUACCUUUAUAUGCAUUAGCCCAUUUAAACUGCAUACAGAUAAGAAAAAUGAGACUUCAAGCGUUCAAGUAGCUGUGCUACUUGCCCAAAGUAGCAUAGUUAUUAAGGUGGAAAGGCGGAGUUCAAAGGCUUGGGAUUGUGCUCACUGCCACUAUGCUAUGCUGCCUUCUGUGGGUUUGAACAUCUCUGCUGUGAGAACCUAGACUAAAAGCUUCAGCAUUCCCCCCUGAGCUUAUAGUUCCACCCUCCUCCAAUACCUUUCUUUUAUUAAAGAGGUUCCUGCCAAAAAGCCUCUGAACCAGAAUUCCUCUAGAGGUCUAAGGUAAAAUUUAUUGUCUCUUUGAUUGACUAUGAAUUCUCAUCUACAAAUUUGUCUUGCUCUCUGGCAAAAAUUCUGACUUGGCUUUUUUUUUUUUUUUUUCCUGCCUGUCUGCCUUCCCAAACUCUACAACCUGAAGGCUGGCAUACUGUUACUCUGACCAGGGCCUGGUGGGGAACAUUCACUUAUUGAUAAUACGACAGGCAAAGGAAGCCUUGAAAGGAAGUGGGAAUCAUGAUGGGCAGGAG